rnacentral:autocatalytically_spliced_intron from 1 species
AACCGCUGUAUGCCGAACGACACAUACGAUGGUGUGAGAGGACGAUAAUUGAAAUAAUAAAUUAUCUCCUACUCGAU